AGAGCCAGGGCUACACAGAGAAAUACUGCCUCAAACAAAACAAAACAAGAACAAAGAUAGGCUCUCACUGUUGGAGUCCACAUAGCCUAGACUUCAAGGUCCUCCUGCUGUAGAUUCCAGGGUACUGGGAUCACAGGCAGGCGCCACAAGCCCUGAUAGGCAAAUAUUUUCUUGCUCUUCUCCUCCUCUUCCUCUUGUCUUUUCCUUGAGAUGGGGGUCUGCGUCCCAGGCUUGACCUGGAAUGUCUAGAUAGCUGAAGCUGACUUUGAAUUCCUGAUCCUCCUGCCUCUGCUUCCCGAGUGCUGGGGUUACAAACAUACACCAAUGUAUCUGGUCCAAACAUUUGCAAUCUGCAGUAGGAUGCAUGCACAGACAGCAGAUGCAAGGGGCUGACUUUCAGCUACUCAGUUGGAGACCAGGCUGGGUGUUAUAAAUAUAUCAACACUUUCAACAUCCUGAUCAUCCCAGCAACCACGAUUGAUGCUGCUGCUUCAUGGUCCCACAUGAUAGCCCCUGCCAACCUCAGUGCCCUCAUCCCAAGCCUCCACCCCUGCUUCCUAUGCUCCCUUCCCUUCGACUUUUCUUGUCUUCCUCAGGACUGAGGCUCACCCUUUUCCAGAGCCUCCAAGAUGCUGCUUGCUAGAGUUCCUGCCACCCCAAUUGUUCUCUUGGCGAAUCCUUCAGAAAUCAGUUUAAAUGCUUUUCCAGAAGGCUUUCCUGACCACUCAGACCAGCCCAGUUUCCUCAAGUUACAGAAAGAGAUUGGAGCCGUAGUUCAUCUCCAGAAGUCUAGGGCUGAUUUGCAAACAAAGGAAGAAGCAGUGAGGCAUCUGGCAGACAUCAGCAAGACUGGCUCCCUCCAUCCACCCCAGGAACAUCCCACAUCCGCCCUGCUCACAACAUCACCCUCAGGCCUGCCGGCUGGUUUCUAGAGUGGACCUGAACCCAGGAUGGACUGUUCUAAACCAAUUACCUAUGUCAUCCAUCCUCCCAGAACCGAUGAAUAAAUGGCAUCUGCUUUAUG